UUCCCCUAKUCCUGCGAGUGAAGCGGGAAAAGCUCAAAUUUAAAAUCUGGCGGUCUUCGAUCGUCCGAGUUGUAGUCUGGAGAAGCGUCUUCCGCGCUGGACCGUGUACAAGUCUCUUGGAAYAGAGCGUCGUAGAGGGUGAGAAUCCCGUCUUUGACACGGACUACCAGUGCUUUGUGAUGCGCUCUCAAAGAGUCGAGUUGUUUGGGAAUGCAGCUCAAAAUGGGUGGUAAAUUCCAUCUAAAGCUAAAUAUUGGCGAGAGACCGAUAGCGAACAAGUACCGUGAGGGAAAGAUGAAAAGCACUUUGGAAAGAGAGUUAAACAGUACGUGAAAUUGCUGAAAGGGAAACGAUUGAAGUCAGUCGCGUCGUCUAGAACUCAACCUUGCCUCGGCUCGGUGCAUUUUCUAGUUGACGGGCCAGCAUCAGUUUUGACCGUUGGAAAAAGGUCCUUGGAAUGUGGCACCUUCGGGUGUGUUAUAGCCUCGGGUCGUAUACGACGGUUGGGACUGAGGACCGCAGCACGCCUUUAUGGCCGGGGUUCGCCCACGUACGUGCUUAGGAUGCUGGCGUAAUGGCUUUAAACGACCCGUCUUGAAACACGGACCAAGGAGUCUAACAUGCCUGCGAGUGUUUGGGUGGUAAACCCGAGCGCGUAACGAAAGUGAAAGUUGGGAUCCCUGUCGUGGGGAGCACCGACGCCCACACCAGACCUUCUGUGACGGAUGUGCGGUUGAGCAUGUAUGUUGGGACCCGAAAGAUGGUGAACUAUGCCUGAAUAGGGUGAAGCCAGAGGAAACUCUGGYGGAGGCUCGUAGCGAUUCUGACGU
rnacentral:rRNA from 1 species